rnacentral:rRNA from 1 species
UACGAGAGGCCCAAGCGUUAUUCGGAAUUACUGGGCUUAAAGAGUUCGUAGGCGGCGCGGUAAGUAGGGUGUGAAAGCCCUCGGCUCAACCGAGGAAUUGCGCUCUAAACUGCCGUGCUUGAGGAAACUAGAGGUGAGCAGAACUGAUGGUGGAGCGGUGAAAUGCGUUGAUAUCAUCAGGAAUACCGGAGGCGAAGGCGGCUCACUGGGGGUUAUCUGACGCUGAGGAACGAAAGCCAGGGGAGCGAACGGG